CUCCAAUAAAGAAUUUUAAAAGGAUAUUGCUUCCGAGAUGUUUGAGUGGUAUAGACAUAGCAGGGGAGGUCCAGCAGGCUGUGCUUCUCCCCUGGCAUGGUUUUAUUUCAUACCUUCGCAUCU